UGGAGAGUUUGAUCCUGGCUCAGAGUGAACGCUGGCGGCGUGCCUAACACAUGCAAGUCGAACGGAUUUUAAGAGCUUGCUCUUAAAGUUAGUGGCGCACGGGUGAGUAACACGUAGCUAAUCUGCCCUAUAGUGGGGGACAACAGUUGGAAACGACUGCUAAUACCCUAUACUCCGAUACUGCCUAAGUAGUAUCGGGAAAGUUUUUCGCUAUAGGAUGAGGCUGCGGUCUAUCAGCUAGUUGGUGAGGUAACGGCUCACCAAGGCUAUGACGGAUAGCUGGUCUGAGAGGAUGAUCAGCCACACUGGAACUGAGGCACGGUCCAGACUCCUACGGGAGGCAGCAGUGGGGAAUUUUACACAAUGGGCGAAAGCCUGAUGUAGCAACGCCGCGUGGAGGAUGAAGGAUUUAGGUUCGUAAACUCCUUUUAUGGGGGAAGAAAUUUGACGGUACCCUAUGAAUAAGCACCGGCUAACUCC
rnacentral:rRNA from 1 species